CCUACGGGAGGCAGCAGUGGGGAAUAUUGGACAAUGGGCGAAAGCCUGAUCCAGCCAUGCCGCGUGUGUGAAGAAGGCCUUCGGGUUGGAAAGCACUUUCAGUGGGGAAGAAAGCCUUGGGGCUAAUACCCUCGAGGAAGGACAUCACCCACAGAAGAAGCACCGGCUAACUCCGUGCCAGCAGCCGCGGUAAUACGGAGGGUGCGAGCAUUAAUCGGAAUUACUGGGCGUAAAGCGCGCGUAGGCGGUCUGAUAAGCCGGUUGUGAAAGCCCCGGGCUCAACCUGGGAACGGCAUCCGGAACUGUCAGGCUAGAGUGCAGGAGAGGAAGGUAGAAUUCCCGGUGUAGCGGUGAAAUGCGUAGAGAUCGGGAGGAAUACCAGUGGCGAAGGCGGCCUUCUGGACUGACACUGACGCUGAGGUGCGAAAGCGUGGGUAGCAAACAGGAUUAGAUACCCUGGUAGUC
rnacentral:rRNA from 1 species